GGGGAUUUAGCUCAGUGGUAGAGCCUUUGCCUAGCAAGCACAAGGCCCUGGGUUCAGUCCCCA
rnacentral:tRNA from 1 species